rnacentral:rRNA from 1 species
UUGCUGCAGUUAAAAAGCUCGUAGUUGAAUUUCUGUUUGUUAGAGUCGAGUCUUCCAAGACGAGAUCUCUUCGGACAUCUGUUUGCAAUCAUAUGUUCGGUCUUCAUUGAUUGACUAUGUGAGCAAACGUUUUACCUUGAGAAAAUUAGAGUGUUCCAGGCAGGCUUCAGCCGGAAUACAUUAGCAUGGAAUAAUGGAAUAGGACUGGGGACUAUUUUUGGUUUGAGGCUCCAGUAAUGAUUAAUAGGAACAGUCGGGGGCAUUAGUACUUGACAGUCAGAGGUGAAAUUCUUGGAUUUGUCAAAGACUAACUAAUGCGAAAGCAUUUGCCAAGCAUGUUUUCAUUAAUCAAGAACGAAAGUUAGGGGAUCAAAGACGAUUAGAUACCGUCCUAGUCUUAACUGUAAACGAUUCCAUCUUGGAAUUGGGCGGAUAUAUUAUGAUUCGUCCAGCGCCAUAAGAGAAAUCAAAGUCUUUGGGUUCUUGGUGGAGUACGAUCGCAAGAUUGAAACUUAAAGGAAUUGACGGUUUUGCACACCAUGGAGUGGAGCCUGUGGCUUAAUUUGACUCAACACUGGGAAACUCAUCAGGACAAAAAAGUUUUAGGAUUGACAGAUUGAUAGCUCUUUCUUG